rnacentral:rRNA from 1 species
UACAGAGGUCUCAAGCGUUUGUUCGGAUUCAUUGGGCGUAAAGGGUGCGUAGGCGGCGCGGUAAGUCGGGUGUGAAAUCUCGGGGCUUAACUCCGAAACUGCAUUCGAUACUGCCGUGCUUGAGGACUGGAGAGGAGACUGGAAUUUACGGUGUAGCGGUGAAAUGCGUAGAUAUCGUAAGGGAGACCAGUGGCGAAGGCGGGUCUCGUGGA